GGGAAAGUGGCUCAGUGGUAGAGUGCUUGCCUCGCAAGCAUGAGGCCCUGGGUUCCAUUCCUCAGCACCA
rnacentral:tRNA from 1 species